UUAACUCGAAUUUUUAUGGAUUCGAACGUACGCCAACGUUUGCCGAUAGGGGCGCUGUUUCAACUCCAUAAAAAUUUGAGUUA
rnacentral:pre_miRNA from 1 species